rnacentral:rRNA from 1 species
CCUACGGGAGGCAGCAGUAAGGAAUAUUGGUCAAUGGACGAAAGUCUGAACCAGCCAUGCCGCGUGAAGGAUGAAGGCCCUCUGGGUUGUAAACUUCUUUUAUCUGGGACGAAAAAAAGGGUAUUCUUACCCACUUGACGGUACCAGAGGAAUAAGCACCGGCUAACUCCGUGCCAGCAGCCGCGGUAAUACGGAGGGUGCAAGCGUUAUCCGGAUUCACUGGGUUUAAAGGGAGCGUAGGUGGGCUGAUAAGUCAGUGGUGAAAUCUCCGGGCUUAACCCGGAAACUGCCAUUGAUACUAUUAGUCUUGAAUUAUCUGGAGGUAAGCGGAAUAUGUCAUGUAGCGGUGAAAUGCUUAGAUAUGACAUAGAACACCAAUUGCGAAGGCAGCUUGCUACGGAUUGAUUGACACUGAGGCUCGAAAGCGUGGGGAGUCAAACAGGAUUAGAUACCCUGGUAGUCCACGCCCUAAACGAUGGAUACUCGACAUCAGCGAUACACUGUUGGUGUCUGAGCGAAAGACAUUAAGUAUCCCACCUGGGAAGUACGACCGACGAAGGUUAGAAACGUACAAAGGAAAGUUAGACGG